UACGUAGGGAGCAAGCGUUGUCCGGAAUCAUUGGGCGUAAAGCGCGCGUAGGCGGCCUUGUAAGUCCGUUGUGAAAGUCAAAGGCUCAACCUUUGAAAGCCGAUGGAUACUGCAGGGCUAGAGUCCGGAAGAGGCGAGUGGAAUUCCUGGUGUAGCGGUGGAAUGCGCAGAUAUCAGGAGGAACACCAAUAGCGAAGGCAGCUCGCUGGGACGGUACUGACGCUGAGGCGCGACGGCGUGGGGAGCAAACCGG
rnacentral:rRNA from 1 species